UACGUAGGGUGCUAACGUUGUUCGGAAUCACUGGGCAUAAAGAGCGCGUAGGCGGUCUGAUAAGUCAGGUGUGAAAUCCCCCGGCUCAACCGGGGAACUGCACCUGAUACUGUUGGGCUUGAGUGCAGGAGGGGAGAGCGGAAUUCCCAGUGUAGCGGUGAAAUGCGUAGAUACUGGGAGGAACACCGGUGGCGAAGGCGGCUACCUGGACCGGUUCUGACGCUGAUGCGCGAAAGCGUGGGUAGCAAACAGG
rnacentral:rRNA from 1 species